GAAAUAUACAUAACAACAAAAAAAAAAAAUAAUGUUUUAACAUACUUUGAAUACACGAUUUUAUCUUUAUUUAAAUAUAUAUAUUACCACGUUGCAUGGACAAAAGAUAAAAAUAUUUUUGUUAAAGAAGAUGGACAUGUAGAAAAUAAACAAAUGGAAACAAUAAAAACCAAAAUAAACGCUGAACAUAUCUAUAAAUCGUUUGUAAAAAAAAAGUAUAACAAUUUAUUACCUUUAUCAGAAAAUUUUUUAUCAAAUAUUAUACUUUUAUCAAUAUAUAUCCAAAAUCAUUUACCUAUUUUAUUUUCGAGUAUGCAAAAAAUGGAAAUAACAACAAAAAAAAAAAAAGUAGGAAACCUAUCUCAAAUGAAUAAAAUAUACAAUGUUUAUGUUCCUAGUAAUAAAAAUAUUACUAACCACUCUAACCACUCUAACCACUCUAACCACUAUAACCACUAUAACAACUAUAACCACUUGUAUAAACGGUUAAUUAUUAAAGAAUGUGGUGAAAAUAGAAAUGUACCUAUGACUAUCACCCAAUUAAUUGCUCAAAAAUGCAAAAACACAAAAACUGAUAAUCUAAAACGAAAAAACAAUUUUAUGUAUAAAAAAUAUAUAGAACAAAAAAAAAAUAAAAACCCUUUUCCCUGUUUUCUUACUAACAUUUAUAAUAUUUUUAAAAAAAAAAUUGUAUACAAUUAUGAACAUAAUCACAUUAAUGAAAUUGGGGAAAGUGGAGCAAGUGGUGAAAAUAAAAAAGAGAAAAGUGGAGAAAGUGGGGAAAGUAAGGAAAGUGGGGAAAGUGGGGAAAGUGGGGAAAGUGGGGAAAGUAAAAAAGUGAAAAGUGGUGAAAGUAAAGACUUGCGAAACAGAAAUUACAAAACUAUCGAAGAAACCAAUUUAUUUGACAACAUAAAAAGAAACAAAAACAACAAUAUCCAAACAAGCCUUACACAUUAUUACAUUAGUAACAAUUUAAAAAAAAUAUACAACAGUUAUUUAUAUAAUGAAAAAAAUAUUUUAACAUUUUAUUGUGAUAUAUAUUUUAACAACAAUAUUAUCGAAGUUGAUGGACCCAAGCAUUUUUUUAUUUAUUACAAUCUUGACCCUACUAACAACUUCUCAAUGCAAAAAAAUAAUUACUAUAUAAAAUCAUUUAUAAAACAAAAUAAAUAUAUUUUUAAUUACUAUUAUAUUUUUCCCUUCUUUUUUAAUAAUAAAAAUGUUUUAAACUUAGACAGUAAAAUAAAUAAUAUAUUGUAUAAUGACAAGAGUAUUAAAAAAAAAUUUUUUUUGUAUAAACAAGGCUAUUUUAUAAAAUAUAUAAAUUAUAAUGAUCAAAACAUUACUAGUUAUAAAUAUUUAUAUGACGUUAUAUUUAAAAGGAAAAGUAAGUUUAAAAUUUUAGGACAUGAACUCAGUCUAUAAGGGAUUAUUGACUGUUUAAUUUUAUAAUAUGUGCCCAUAUAUACCUAUAAAACACAUGCUUGUAAGUGCGCAUAUAAAUAUAUACAUAUCUAUGUAUGUACGUAUGUGUUGUUAUUUUGUAUAAACUUGCUAAUAUUGACACAUUGACGGCUCAUUAUUAAAAAAAAAAAAAAAAAAAAAAAAAACGGUACUAUUUUUUAACAUUUCCAUUUUUAACAUUU
ensembl:lncRNA